rnacentral:misc_RNA from 1 species
GAUGAAGAACGCAGCGAAAUGCGAUAAGUAGUGUGAAUUGCAGAAUUCCGUGAAUCAUCGAAUCUUUGAACGCACAUUGCGCCUUCUGGUAUUCCGGAAGGCAUGCCUGUUCGAGAGUCAUUAACAACCGUUUCGAUCCCUUUCUUUCAGAAAUUACAAAGAGGAAAAGGGUUUGGUUAUGGUGGAGGAGGGAAAGGGAGCGUUUAGCCUGUAAAAAAAGAGGCUGUGUUCCGCCUCCCCCCCAUAAUUGUACAGGCGGUCGUGUGCGCCCACGCAUCGAGGUGUUGUAAAAGCUGCCACGGCACUUUUCACCUGUGCAGUGCGAGAUUGGCCAGCCGGUUUAAAAACCCCUCCAAACAAUCAAAGGUUGACCUCGGAUCAGGUAGGGAUACCCGCUGAACUUAAGCAUAUCAAUAAGCGGAGGA